UUGCUGAGGAUACGGUUAACGGAGCGAAAGCGACGUUCAACCGCAAAACAAGCAGAGGGGGCUUAGUGGUGGGGUGACUGCGUACCUUUUGUAUAAUGGGUCAGCGACUUAUAUUCUGUAGCAAGGUUAACCGUAUAGGGGAGCCGGAGGGAAACCGAGUCUUAACCGGGCGUUAAGUUGCAGGGUAUAGACCCGAAACCCGGUGAUCUAGCCAUGGGCAGGUUGAAGGUUGGGUAACACUAACUGGAGGACCGAACCGACUAAUGUUGAAAAAUUAGCGGAUGACCUGUGGCUGGGGGUGAAAGGCCAAUCAAACCGGGAGAUAGCUGGUUCUCCCCGAAAGCUAUUUAGGUAGCGCCUCGUGAAUUCAUCUCCGGGGGUAGAGCACUGUUUCGGCUAGGGGGCCAUCCCGGCUUACCAACCCGAUGCAAACUGCGAAUACCGGAGAAUGUUAUCACGGGAGACACACGGCGGGUGCUAACGUCCGUCGUGAAGAGGGAAACAACCCAGACCGCCAGCUAAGGUCCCAAAGUCAUGGUUAAGUGGGAAACGAUGUGGGAAGGCCCAGACAGCCAGGAUGUUGGCUUAGAAGCAGCCAUCAUUUAAAGAAAGCGUAAUAGCUCACUGGUCGAGUCGGCCUGCGCGGAAGAUGUAACGGGGCUAAACCAUGCACCGAAGCUGCGGCAGCGA
rnacentral:rRNA from 1 species